rnacentral:rRNA from 1 species
GUGCCAGCCGCCGCGGUAAUACGGAGGAUGCGAGCGUUAUCCGGAUUUAUUGGGUUUAAAGGGUGCGUAGGUGGUUUGUUAAGUUUGUGGUGAAAGCGUGCGGCUCAACCGUACCAAGCCAUGAAAACUGGCGAACUUGAGUGCAAACGAGGUAGGCGGAAUGUGAUGUGUAGCGGUGAAAUGCUUAGAUAUGUCACAGAACCCCGAUUGCGAAGGCAGCUUACCAGCAUGCAACUGACACUGAGGCACGAAAGCGUGGGUAUCAAACAGGAUUAGAUACCCUGGUAGUCCACGCAGUAAACGAUGAAUACUAGCUGUUGGCGAUAUAUGGUCAGCGGUACAGCGAAAGUGUUAAGUAUUCCACCUGGGGAGUACGCCGGCAACGGUGAAACUCAAAGGAAUUGACGGGGGCCCGCACAAGCGGAGGAACAUGUGGUUUAAUUCGAUGAUACGCGAGGAACCUUACCCGGGCUUGAAAGUUAGUGACGGCGGAUGAAAGUCUGCUUCCCUUCGGGGCACGAAACUAGGUGCUGCAUGGUUGUCGUCAGCUCGUGCCGUGAGGUGUCGGCUUAAGUGCCAUAACGAGCGCAACCCUUGCCGUUAGUUGCCAGCGGGUGAUGCCGGGAACUCUAGCGGGACUGCUACUGUAAGGUAGAGGAAGGUGGGGAUGACGUCAAAUCAGCACGGCCCUUACGUCCGGGGCGACACACGUGUUACAAUGGUGAGUACAGAGGGUUGCUACUUGGUGACAAGAUGCUAAUCUCCUAAAACUCAUCUCAGUUCGGAUCGGAGUCUGCAACUCGACUCCGUGAAGCUGGAUUCGCUAGUAAUCGCGCAUCAGCCAUGGCGCGGUGAAUACGUUCCCGGGCCUUGUACACACCGCCCGU